AGUGAACGCUGGCGGUAGGCCUAACACAUGCAAGUCGAACGGCAGCACAGGAGAGCUUGCUCUCUGGGUGGCGAGUGGCGGACGGGUGAGGAAUACAUCGGAAUCUACUCUGUCGUGGGGGAUAACGUAGGGAAACUUACGCUAAUACCGCAUACGACCUACGGGUGAAAGCAGGGGACCUUCGGGCCUUGCGCGAUGGAAUGAGCCGAUGUCGGAUUAGCUAGUUGGCGGGGUAAAGGCCCACCAAGGCGACGAUCCGUAGCUGGUCUGAGAGGAGGAUCAGCCACACUGGAACUGAGACACGGUCCAGACUCCGACGGGAGGCAGCAGUGGGGAAUAUUGGACAAUGGGCGCAAGCCUGAUCCAGCCAUACCGCGUGGGUGAAGAAGGCCUUCGGGUUGUAAAGCCCUUUUGUUGGGAAAGAAAUCCAGCUGGCUAAUACCCGGUUGGGAUGACGGUACCCAAAGAAUAAGCACCGGCUAACUUCGUGCCAGCCGCCGCGGUAA
rnacentral:rRNA from 1 species